GUUUAAUUAUCUGUUUAAUGAUGCUUAAAGCACGUCAGAAAUAUUGUUCUGCAGAGGAGAGAAGUGCACAGCCUCCUCUGCUCUCAGAGCUGUUCAUUACCCCGGAUGGUUUUGUGUCAGUCACAGAGCUGAGGUUCUUUGUUCCCAUUCACACCCCACUGCCUUCUGGUCCCAAACUGCAGAAAGAGGCCUGUAAAGAGGGGCAGAAAAAAAUCCCAGCAGCAGACAGGUCCCAGCAGCAAGCUUGGGGGAUCCAGGUUGCGUGCACCUCCAGGCAGCAAAACCAUGGGGACAAUUGGAUAGAGAUGUCCAAGGGAUAUUCUGCACUGUGAACCAGAUCUCUGCUGAGCCAGGACAUGGGCAGUACCACAGGAGCACCAGGGAAUUUGUCAUGGGUCCCACAGCAUACCCACAAAACCCCAGAAGUCCCCACACACACCCUGUCCCUCUGGAGCUUUGGCAGGGGGCAGGCAGUGGGUGCUGUGCUCAAUGACCUGGCAAUGCUGAGGCAGGGGCACUGCAGGGAACGCUGCUCCCUCCCGACAGCUUUACAGAGCCCACAUUUCACCAGCUACAAAGCGCUGACACUCGCACUCCCACUUAAUUCCAGCAGUGCAGCCCAUUCUGGGGCUAUGAGCCUUGGAAAGAGCCGGUCUGGUUCACCCAGAGGGGAAGUGUAAAUCCUCAUUCAGCCCCUGGCAGGGAGCACUGCCACCUCCACAGCCCGCUUUUGUGCUCACAUCUCCCGCUUGCAGUGAGGGGAUGUAUGAGCUCCUUGGGUCCCAUGGAAGGGUCCUGUGCUGGAGUCCCACGUUCAUUAGUGAGGCAAUUAUCCGUGCAGGCCCUCCAGAGAGGCCUUGCAGAUCAGCUUUACAUGAGGCAGAAAACAAUGAUAUCCCAGUGCUUUCCAAGCAAUUCAAUUUUCUCGUACUCAGGAGAGCAAGAGUAUACUCUCUUCCCUCCCAAAACACUCCACAGCCUGGAUUUUAGGAAUAAUUACUGCUCUUCCUCCAGUGGUACCACUAACAGGGAUCCUCGCAGUGCCAGGGCACGUUCCAGCCCAGUUCUCCUGAGAGCAUCUCCUGCACAUCAGAGUCCUGCUGCUGCUGCAGCACUGCAUUUGGCAGACACAAUGCUCCAUAACUUCUUUCUAGAGAUACCGCUAAUAGGAACCCAGAUAUUUCAUUUCAAGGGGCUUCUGUCACCUCGCUCCUCCAGAAGCGAUAACCACCAUGCAGGAACACUCCAGGACUGCAGAAACCCAAC
rnacentral:lncRNA from 7 species